rnacentral:rRNA from 1 species
UACGGAGGGUGCAAGCGUUAUCCGGAUUCACUGGGUUUAAAGGGUGCGUAGGUGGGUCUGUAAGUCAGUGGUGAAAUCUCCAAGCUUAACUUGGAAACUGCCGUUGAUACUAUAGACCUUGAAUGCUGUGGAGGUGAGCGGAAUAUGUCAUGUAGCGGUGAAAUGCUUAGAUAUGACAUAGAACACCAAUUGCGAAGGCAGCUCACUACCCAGAUAUUGACGCUGAGGCACGAAAGCGUGGGGAUCAAACAGG